GACGAACGCUGGCGGCGUGCUUAGCACAUGCAAGUCGAACGGGCCUGUCUUCUUUUUUGGGGGUGGGUUGAGUGGCGAACGGGUGAGUAUCACGUGAGUAACCUGCCCUUCGGUCCUGGAUAACCGCUUGAAAGGGCGGCUAAUACGGGGUGGUCCGGUUGGUCCGCAUGGGCUGGUCGGGAUAGAUUCACUGUUUUUGGUGUUUCGGCGGGGGAUGGGCUCGCGGCCUAUCAGCUGGUUGGUGGGGUGAUGGCCUACCAAGGCGGUGACGGGGAGCCGGGCUGAGGGGGUGGGCGGCCACACUGGGACUGGGAUACGGCCCAGACUCCUGCGGGAGGCAGCAGUGGGGGGUAUUGCACAAUGGGCGGAAGCCUGAUGCAGCGACGUCGCGUGAGGGAUGGAGGCCUUCGGGUUGUGAACCUCUGUUUCCGGUGGUGAAGGCCCUGUCCGUGUGGUGGGGUUGACGGUAGCCGGGGAUGAAGCGCCGGCUAACUACGUG
rnacentral:rRNA from 1 species